GGGGAAUAUUGGACAAUGGGGGCAACCCUGAUCCAGCAAUGCCGCGUGAGUGAUGAAGGCCUUCGGGUUGUAAAGCUCUUUUGCCAGGGACGAUGAUGACGGUACCUGGAGAAUAAGCCCCGGCUAACUCCGUGCCAGCAGCCGCGGUAAUACGGAGGGGGCUAGCGUUGUUCGGAAUUACUGGGCGUAAAGCGCGCGUAGGCGGCUUUGUAAGUUAGAGGUGAAAGCCCAGAGCUCAACUCUGGAAUUGCCUUUAAGACUGCAUCGCUAGAAUCGUGGAGAGGUGAGUGGAAUUCCGAGUGUAGAGGUGAAAUUCGUAGAUAUUCGGAAGAACACCAGUGGCGAAGGCGACUCACUGGACACGUAUUGACGCUGAGGUGCGAAAGCGUGGGGAGCAAA
rnacentral:rRNA from 1 species